rnacentral:rRNA from 1 species
CGGGUGAGUAACGCGUGGGUAACCUGCCUUACACAGGGGGAUAACACUUAGAAAUAGGUGCUAAAACCGCAUAAGCGCACAGCUUCGCAUGAAGCGGUGUGAAAAGAGUAAAUCGGUGUAAGAUGGCUCUGCGUCUGAUUAGCUAGUUGGUGGGGUAAAGGCUCACCAAGGCGACGAUCAGUAGCCGGCCUGAGAGGGCGACCGGCCACAUUGGGACUGAGACACGGCCCAGACUCCUACGGAAGGCAGCAG